rnacentral:miRNA from 1 species
GUGGCCAAUGCCCUGGUUUGCCCGGGACUGAGAUGGUUCUUGGGAUGCGGGAAUUUCUGUUUUAAAAUCUGGACAGUC